rnacentral:rRNA from 1 species
AUUGAACGCUGGCGGCAUGCCUUACACAUGCAAGUCGAACGGCAGCACGGGUGCUUGCACCUGGUGGCGAGUGGCGAACGGGUGAGUAAUACAUCGGAACGUACCUUAUCGUGGGGGAUAACGCAGCGAAAGUUGCGCUAAUACCGCAUACGCCCUGAGGGGGAAAGCGGGGGACCGUAAGGCCUCGCGCGAUUAGAGCGGCCGAUGUCUGAUUAGCUUGUUGGUGGGGUAAAAGCUCACCAAGGCGAUGAUCAGUAGCUGGGCUGAGAGGACGAUCAGGCACACUGGGACUGCGACACGGCCCAGACUCCUACGGGAGGCAGCAGUGGGGAAUUUUGGACAAUUGGGGCAACCCUGAUCCAGCAAUGCCGCGUGAGUGAAGAAGGCCUUCGGGUUGUAAAGCUCUUUUGUCAGGGAAGAAACAGCAGCUCUAACACAGUCUGCGAAUGACGGUACCUGAAGAAUAAGCACCGGCUAACUACGUGCCAGCCGCCGCCGUAA